rnacentral:rRNA from 1 species
AUUGAUUUUAUGCUUGCAUGAAUGAUUUUUGUAUUCGGAGCGAGUGGCGAACUGGUGAGUAACACGUGGGUAACCUGCCCCGAAGCGGGGGAUAACAUUUGGAAACAAGUGCUAAUACCGCAUAAUUAGUUGGAACCGCAUGGUUCCAACUUGAAAGAUGGCUCUGCUAUCACUUUGGGAUGGACCCGCGCCGUAUUAGUUAGUUGGUGAGAUAAAAGCCCACCAAGACGAUGAUACGUAGCCGACCUGAGAGGGUAAUCGGCCACAUUGGGACUGAGACACGGCCCAGACUCCUACGGGAGGCAGCAGUAGGGAAUCUUCCACAAUGGACGAAAGUCUGAUGGAGCAACGCCGCGUGAGUGAUGAAGGUUUUCGGAUCGUAAAACUCUGUUGUUAAAGAAGAACAAGUGUCAGAGUAACUGUUAACACUUUGACGGUAUUUAACCAGAAAGCCACGGCUAACUACGUGCCAGCAGCCGCGGUAAUACGUAGGUGGCAAGCGUUGUCCGGAUUUAUUGGGCGUAAAGCGAGCGCAGGCGGUUUUGUAAGUCUGCUGUGAAAGCCCUCAGCUCAACUGAGGAAGUGCAGUGGAAACUACAAAACUUGAGUACAGAAGAGGAAAGUGGAACUCCAUGUGUAGCGGUGAAAUGCGUAGAUAUAUGGAAGAACACCAGUGGCGAAGGCGGCUUUCUGGUCUGUUACUGACGCUGAGGCUCGAAAGCAUGGGUAGCGAACAGGAUUAGAUACCCUGGUAGUCCAUGCCGUAAACGAUGAAUACUAGGUGUUGGAGGGUUUCCGCCCUUCAGUGCCGCAGCUAACGCAUUAAGUAUUCCGCCUGGGGAGUACGACCGCAAGGUUGAAACUCAAAGGAAUUGACGGGGGCCCGCACAAGUGGUGGAGCAUGUGGUUUAAUUCGAUGCUACGCGAAGAACCUUACCAGCUCUUGACAUCUUCUGCCAACCCAAGAGAUUGGGCGUUCCCUUCGGGGACAGAAUGACAGGUGGUGCAUGGUUGUCGUCAGCUCGUGUCGUGAGAUGUUGGGUUAAGUCCCGCAACGAGCGCAACCCUUAUUAUUAGUUGCCAGCAUUUAGUUGGGCACUCUAGUGAGACUGCCGGUGAUAAA